CCUACGGGAGGCAGCAGUGGGGAAUAUUGCACAAUGGGCGAAACCCUGAUGCAGCGACGCCGCGUGAGCGAUGAAGGAUUUCGGUAUGUAAAGCUCUAUCAGCAGGGAAGAAAAGGACGGUACCUGAUUAAGAAGCCAUGGCGAACUACGUGCCAGCAGCCGCGGUCAUACGGAGGGGGCGAGCGUUAUCCGGAUUUACUGGGGGUAAAGGGAGCGUAGGCGGCUUGGCAAGUCAGAUGUGAAAGGCUGGGGAUCAACCCCAGGACUGCAUUUGGAACUGGCAGGCUAGAGUGUCGGAGAGGCAGGCGGAAUUCCUGGUGUAGCGGUGAAAUGCGUAGAUAUUAGGAGGAACACCAGUGGCGAAGGCGGCCUGCUGGACGAUGACUGACGUUGAGGCUCGAAAGCGUGGGGAGCAAACAGGAUUAGAUACCCUAGUAGUC
rnacentral:rRNA from 1 species